ACUCGUAAACUCUUAUUUGUGAGAAGCAUAUUCAUAUUCUGUAAAAACAAAAUAUGCUAGUAAAAUGUUUUUGCCCUGAGACUUUACGGUAUUUUUCUUUUAUGUCAUCAAAAACAUUGAUCAUUUGACACAAAAACAGAGCAGAACAGAAACGAGAACCAUGAAGUGCAGAACAGAGAGGAGAUGAACAGUACAACACAACAAGGAAGAUGUUUCAGCGUUAUUUUGGUAAUGUGCCUUUAAGCAAGUCAGGGCUGUUCUGCUGCUCAGGAAACGAAACCGAAACCAACAUCUCCAACAAAGGAAAAGCCAGAAACUCCAGAUCAUUACACUGAGCGAGAUCCGACGACUGGACUUCUCAACGAGACCGUCUGCGCUCUACACCAUGUCUACAGCCUCACUAGUGUUUGAUGUCCAUCCUGACACAGAUGGCAUUCUGUCGGUCAAAAAAAGAGCUGGAGAACAAGGCAUGCAAGGACAACGUCCUCCUCCUCAACCUGGAUUUCUCCGAGAGAGUCUUCAGGCACAACCCUUUACACCGUGUCAUUAGAGGACCAACAACCUCGCAUCGACUGCUGCAUUCGCAGCUUUUACAGCGAGAUCAUAAGCGAAGAUAUUAAGAGCAUCCACUUCAGCAUGCACUCCUGCCAGAACCAGAGCAGAUCCUGUUUCGCAGCAGCCAAAGAUGCGGUGAGGUCCAAACAUCAGGCACCAAAAAUCACAUGCAACAAGUUUUCCAUCAUCUACACCACUGAUGGCGUUCCUGAUGAGAUCAGCAUGAUCGAAACCAAGUGCCACUUUAAGCUGCGCAUGAUGACGGCUGAGGCGCUGCUGGAAAGGAAGUGCUAGAUAGAGAAAGAGAAAACAAAUUGUACCGAGUUGAUCGCUUGCCUCAAUUAUCUGAUCGAGAAAUACCUGACCAUACCCGAGGCUCCGAGAUCUAACUGCAGGUUCAUUUUACAGGGGAAUAAAGAAAUGGCUGAAAUUAUUUAGACGCUGUAGGCAAUGAGCCGAUGAAACAGUAUGUGAUAAUGUGGGUGAGGUACUCACAAGUCUGCAGCUAUCCGCCUCUAGAGUGAAGAUGAAGCCCCCAAACACGCACCAGCGAACUUCUCAAACAUCAUGCAGAUCUCCAUCAGCUCUUCUCUGGAGCAUCAUCUCUAUCGAGAUUACAUAAAUUACAUAAAACCAGCCACAGAGAGUCGAGUCAUUCACAUGUAAAUAAAACAAAAGGUAGAGCUAAUAAAUAUCAACGUUAACAUUAUUACAGUUAAAUAAGAUUUUGUUUUUUCGAAGCUUUUACAUCAAAUAUAUCUCUCUACAUAUUUUUUGUAUAAAACUGGUGUUUGAAACUUCUUUUACAAUGUAAACUAUGUUCCUUUAUAAACUUUAACGGACUGCAUGUUGUUGAUGAUAUAAAUAUCUUACUACAUACAAUAAUAAACUUCAC